UACAGAGGGUGCAAGCGUUGUCCGGAAUCAUUGGGCGUAAAGCGCGUGUAGGCGGUCCGGUAAGUCCGCUGUGAAAGUCGGGGGCUCAACCCUCGAAUGCCGGUGGAUACUGUCGGGCUAGAGUGCGGAAGAGGCGAGUGGAAUUCCUGGUGUAGCGGUGAAAUGCGCAGAUAUCAGGAGGAACACCAAUUGCGAAGGCAGCUCGCUGGGACGUUACUGACGCUGAGACGCGAAAGCGUGGGGAGCAAACAGG
rnacentral:rRNA from 1 species